UACGGAGGGUGCAAGCGUUGUUCGGAUUCACUGGGUAUAAAGGGUGCGCAGGCGGCCUGGUAAGUCAGGGGUGAAAUAUGACGGCUCAACCGUCAAACUGCCUCUGAAACUGCCUGGCUUGAGUCCGGGAGAGGUAGGUGGAAUUCCAGGUGUAGCGGUGAAAUGCGUAAAUAUCUGGAGGAACACCGGUGGCGAAGGCGGCCUACUGGCCCGGUACUGACGCUCAGGCACGAAAGCUAGGGGAGCGAACGGG
rnacentral:rRNA from 1 species